rnacentral:rRNA from 1 species
AUUGAACGCUGGCGGCAGGCUUAACACAUGCAAGUCGAGCGAGCGGCGGACGGGUGAGUAAUGUCUGGGAAACUGCCUGCUGGAGGGGGAUAACUACUGGAAACGGUAGCUAAUACCGCAUACCAUCAGAUGUGCCCAGAUGGGAUUAGCUAGUAGGUGGGGUAAUGGCUCACCUAGGAGACGAUCCCUAGCUGGUCGGAGAGGAUGACCAGCCACACUGGAACUGAGACCAGGUCCAGACGCCUACGGGAGGCAGCAGUGGGGAAUAUUGCACAAGGGGCGCAAGCCUGAUGCAGCCAUGCCGCGUGGGUGAAGAAGGCCUUCGGGUUGUAAAGCACUUUCAGCGAGGAGGCGUUACGCGCAGAAGAAGCCCCGGCUAACUCCGUGCCAGCAGCCGCGGUAAUUC